rnacentral:rRNA from 1 species
GAUGAACGCUGGCGGCGUGCCUAAUACAUGCAAGUCGAGCGAACAGACGAGGAGCUUGCUCCUCUGACGUUAGCGGCGGACGGGUGAGUAACACGUGGAUAACCUACCUAUAAGACUGGGAUAACUUCGGGAAACCGGCGCUAAUACCGGAUAAUAUAUUGAACCGCAUGGUUCAAUAGUGAAAGACGGUUUUGCUGUCACUUAUAGAUGGAUCCGCGCCGCAUUAGCUAGUUGGUAAGGUAACGGCUUACCAAGGCAACGAUGCGUAGCCGACCUGAGAGGGUGAUCGGCCACACUGGAACUGAGACACGGUCCUGACUCCUACGGGAGGCAGCAGUAGGGAAUCUUCCGCAAAGGGCGAAAGCCUGACGGAGCAACGCCGCGUGAGUGAUGAAGGUCUUCGGAUCGUAAAACUCUGUUAUUAGGGAAGAACAAAUGUGUAAGUAACUAUGCACGUCUUGACGGUACCUAAUCAGAAAGCCACGGCUAACUACGUG